GGGCUUGAGUAUUUCGCCCUGGAAAAAUCGAUAGGGAUCUUGUAAUGAUGCGAGGAGACUACGUCUCAAGAAUGGGAAGUGAGGAGUUGGGUCGAAUUGAAACAAGUGAAGAGUGCAGGCAUCCGUGGCAUGUAGAUUAUUCACAAGACGAUUCCACUUUUAGACAACCAUUUGAAUGUACCCACGUUCGGAGCCUCAAUACAGAUGCCUUUCCCUUUAAGAGACGGAUCAGCAUUACACAAGCUGCCAGGUGCACAGAGGCAGCAAACCAAGAAUAAACUGAUGUACCAGGGUGAAAAAGAAACUUGUAAACAAAUGCUCUCCCUCCCUCUCGGUCACUCCCUAUACUUUUCUUUUGUACUUAUUGUAUUGACUCAGGUCUACAUGUGUUCAAACGUGAUACUGGUAUACGCGGUUUGUGGCAAAAGGCACAUAAACACACAGCAUAGGCCUACUUUUAGAAAACAGGUUUUAACAUAUUCGCACAGGGGAAAAAAUAUUAAAAGAAAGUAUGGUUUAGAGCCAACGAUCCUUGAUAGAAUGAGGUUUGAAAGCUAUUGUAUGCACAAUAGCGUAUUUAAUAUAUCGUCUGUUUUGUAUUUUGUUUUCCGGUGCCAUCUCCUCCUGUGCUGCUCCUGGAAGCUGAAUUCAGAUGGUGCCAUAGAGUACUUUACGGCAUCUAGCACCAUUUGAAAUCAGUGUUCUUGGGUCGGUCCUGACAUCACACGGGACAGUUAAAUAGUGUUCUACUUUAUACUAUACUGUACAGUGCUUUGAUGCAACCUGUGUCGUUAAAAGCACUAUAUAAAUAAAAAUGAUUGAAAUGACUGACUACUGCAGCGUUAAUGAUCAAUGUCUUUGCAUGUCUGAUUUGCAUACGUUUCAUGAAUUAAAUAAAAUGAAUUUAAUCUUAA